GAUGAACGCUGGCGGCGUGCCUAAUACAUGCAAGUCGAGCGAACGGACGAGAAGCGUGCUCUUCUGAUGUUAGCGGCGGACGGGUGAGUAACACGUGGAUAACCUACCUAUAAGACUGGGAUAACUUCGGGAAACCGGAGCUAAUACCGGAUAAUAUUUUGAACCGCAUGGAUCAAAAGUGAAAGACGGUCUUGCUGUCACUUAUAGAUGGAUCCGCGCUGCAUUAGCUAGUUGGUAAGGUAACGGCUUACCAAGGCAACGAUGCAUAGCCGACCUGAGAGGGUGAUCGGCCACACUGGAACUGAGACACGGUCCAGACUCCUACGGGAGGCAGCAGUAGGGAAUCUUCCACAAUGGGCGCAAGCCUGACGGAGCCACGCCGCGUGAGUGAUGAAGGUCUUCGGAUCGUAAAGCUCUGUUAUUAGGGAAGAACAUAUGUGUAAGUAACUGUGCACAUCUUGACGGUACCUAAUCAGAAAGCCACGGCUAACUACGUG
rnacentral:rRNA from 1 species